rnacentral:lncRNA from 1 species
GUGUGCUUCGGCUUAGUUUUUUUUUAAAUUAGGUCCAGAGUUGGGAUUGGACACCCUUCCCCACUCUUAAUGAAAUGUUAAUAAAAAAUGUUCUACGGCAAUACUCUUUUCAACACUAGUUGAAAUGGGAAGCUAAAUAGUUUAAGGUUUACUUGACAAUAAAUCAAUCCAGCGUGUGCUUCGGCUUAGUUUUUUUUUAAUUAGGUCCAAAGUUAGGGUCGGACACCCUACCCCACCCUUUCAAAAAGUAUAAUAAACAAAUUUUCUACGGCAAUACUCUUUUC